ACGAAAACUGGUCUUUCGCAGUUAUGGACUCUAGUGAACUGCGGUAUACAUCCGUAAGAGAAAUAUUCCGCACACGACGAUCGUCAGCUAUCACCAAGCGCGGACUAUUCCGCGAGCCGCGACUUUCAUUUAUGCAGUUCGCUUUUCAUUAUCAAUGUGCGAGCAUCUUCUGACCUGUUUUCAUUGCGUUCUUAACAAAUUAUACUGUUGUUAAUUGUGUAGAUUUUUCUAACUGUCGUUAAGAUUGCCCCAAUGGAUUCCAACUAUUUUGACGAUUCGGAUUCAAGUGUGGAAAUACGAUAUACCCGAAGACGUAUCCGUCGUAUUUCAUCAAGCGAUGACAGCGAAGAUGAGCAACGGUGUCGGUUUUGUAAAUAGAGACUUUGAAUGGAAACAAGAAAAUCGUACGCCGAAUGUACAUAAUUUUUCAGCCGUGAGCGAUGUCACGGCAAAUAUACAAGAUCUAACGAGAAGGGAAAUCUUUGAAUUAGUUUUUAAUGAAGAACUAGUUAGAAAAAUAAUCACGGAAACAAAUAAAUUGCUUCGAUCUACAGCAGGGUCAUAUUUAGUCAGUUUUAUCGCGACCGACGAGAUGUGCGAAUCAACCUGUCAAACAUAAACCGAUAUGAGUCAAUGAUUGGAUUAUUGGAGCGUGUGUUCAUCUAUGUGUUACCUGAAGUGAUACUUUUUAGAUAUUCUUUUAAGAUUCUAGCUAUGUUGUGUUUUAGAAAAGUUAUAGUAAUAUAAGUAGCACUUAAAAAAUUUUAUUCAACUUUGUAAUGUUGCAUGGAGUGAACAAAAUUUUUUUAAUAAGUUAUAUUUAUGCCAAUCAAAAGCGACUACCUUUCUCUGUAAAAUUAGUAUCUGUUGAUUGUUGUAUGAUUUUUUUUUUAAUUAUAUAUUAUAAAUUAUAUAAAUUAUAAUAAUAAAUUAAUUAUAUUUUCUGUUUCAAAAUUUUAUCGUUUAAAUUGGUAUUUUAUGUUGUCCGUUUUGGGAGAAUUUAUGAUUUUAGAGCGGGUCAUUUUCGUAGCCACCUCCUCGUGGUGUGACCUGGUAAUUGAUAUCGUUUUCUAAAAAGUCUUCAGAAAGUAAUUUUUAAAAAGCGAUAUCAAGCUAAGUGUUACGAUAUUUAAAUUUCUUAUUUUCCAGCAUUUAUCUGUGCAAUAAUCUCUAUUUUGCAAGCAAACACGAACACGACCUUCCCAUAAUAUAUGUUAUAUAAUUUCCUCUCCAUCCUAUUUCAUCCAUGUACAAUUAAAAAGAAAUUCAUUACUUCUUUCCCACGCUUCUAUCUAAUCAUUCUCAAUUAAUUAGUCUGAUUUAGUUCCUAUACAAUCGUUAGUUGAACAAAAAUGAGGUUUUUCAUGAUGUCGGUAUUUCAGAUCGUGAGAUGAUUGUUCUGUUUUGCACCUCGUCCAUAACGCAGAUCGUAAAGUAACAAGUCAAUGUGUCCUUCGCGAAUAAAACAGAGCGUAAUACUUGGUAUAAACAUUUGCAAGUAAAAAUAAGCACCGUUUGUAUUUGAAUAGUCGGGAAUAGCAUCGUGACGCACGCGAGCUAUGUUGAAUUCGUAUGAAAUUGCAUCUGUGGUAUUGCGUGAAUAGAAUUUUGUGUACUUUCAUGAAGCCAAAUCUUCUGGCAAAAACAUUUGCAAAAUAUUUCCGUUAACAUAAACAAAUAACGUUUCGUAAUUUUUUGGUACUUUGUAUUCUAUAUUAAAACUUUGUUGCCGCUGUGGUCAUGAUGUAAAAUAAACAUGAUCUAUAGAAAUA